GGGGAAUGUUGCACAAUGGGGGAAACCCUGAUGCAGCAACGCCGCGUGAGUGAUGACGGCCUUCGGGUUGUAAAGCUCUGUCUUCAGGGACGAUAAUGACGGUACCUGAGGAGGAAGCCACGGCUAACUACGUGCCAGCAGCCGCGGUAAUACGUAGGUGGCAAGCGUUGUCCGGAUUUACUGGGCGUAAAGGGAGCGUAGGCGGACUUUUAAGUGAGAUGUGAAAUACCCGGGCUCAACCUGGGUGCUGCAUUUCAAACUGGAAGUCUAGAGUGCAGGAGAGGAGAGUGGAAUUCCUAGUGUAGCGGUGAAAUGCGUAGAGAUUAGGAAGAACACCAGUGGCGAAGGCGACUCUCUGGACUGUAACUGACGCUGAGGCUCGAAAGCGUGGGGAGCAAACA
rnacentral:rRNA from 1 species